CGGAACACGUACAGAACCUUCCUUUAAGCGGGGGAUAGCCCAUAGAAAUGUGGAUUAAUACCCCAUAGUAAUAUUUGAUGGCAUCAUUAGAUAUUUAAAGAUUUAUCACUUAAAGAUGGCUGUGCGGCUGAUUAGGUAGUUGGUGUGGGUAACGGCCCACCAAGCCAUCGAUCAGUAACUGGUGUGAGAGCACGACCAGUCACACGGGCACUGAGACACGGGCCCG
rnacentral:rRNA from 1 species